rnacentral:rRNA from 1 species
AUUGAACGCUGGCGGCAUGCUUUACACAUGCAAGUCGAACGGCAGCACGGGGGCAACCCUGGUGGCGAGUGGCGAACGGGUGAGUAAUGCAUCGGAACGUACCGUGUAAUGGGGGAUAACGUAGCGAAAGUUACGCUAAUACCGCAUACGCCCUGAGGGGGAAAGCGGGGGAUCGUAAGACCUCGCGUUAUACGAGCGGCCGAUGUCGGAUUAGCUAGUUGGUGGGGUAAAGGCCCACCAAGGCGACGAUCCGUAGCGGGUCUGAGAGGAUGAUCCGCCACACUGGGACUGAGACACGGCCCAGACUCCUACGGGAGGCAGCAGUGGGGAAUUUUGGACAAUGGGGGCAACCCUGAUCCAGCCAUGCCGCGUGC